rnacentral:lncRNA from 1 species
GCUACAUCCAAGACGCCAAGACCAGACCAACUGCCUGGAAAAAGCAGAAUCAGCCAAGCUGCCUAGAAGAGGUGUAGACCAACUGAGUCACCAGGAAAAGACAUUCACCAACCUGUUGAGCUGUGGGCAGAUGUAAUACCUGUCCCUGGACUUCUGUCUUUAGAACAUAAGCUGACAGUAAACAGUGCUCAUUUCUGCAUAUGGUGGGCUGUGACUUGCCCUGGAGACCCUGAGAUGUGGCAAGCGUGCAGGAAUGAUGACGAGCAGAAACCAUGGCCAGCAAGAUCUGAGAUAUGGAAGUCUCUCUUCCCUUUGGAAUUAUAUGUGACUUGGGGAAGAGUAUUGUUCUCAUGGUUUCUAUCAAGUGGAAUAACACACAGUUCUGAAACAAAGAAAGAUAUGAAGGUUCCUUCCAUGAUGUGACAGGAGCCCUCCUAUGUUCCCGGUGCACUCCAGCAUCAAGCACAUGGUAGGAGCACACUCCACACCUACUAUGAAUGUUUACUCCAUACACACAGGGAGGG